GUGGGGAAUAUUGGACAAUGGGCGAAAGCCUGAUCCAGCGACGCCGCGUGUGUGAAGAAGGCCUGCGGGUUGUAAAGCACUUUCGAUGGGAACGAAAUGUGCCGGGCUAAUACCCCGGCAAGCUGACGUUACUCAAUGAAGAAGCACCGGCUAACUACGUGCCAGCAGCCGCGGUAAUACGUAGGGUGCAGGCGUUAAUCGGAAUUACUGGGCGUAAAGCGUGCGCAGGCGGCUCCUUAAGUCAGAUGUGAAAGCCCCGGGCUUAACCUGGGAACUGCGUUUGAAACUGGGGAGCUAGAGUGUGGAAGAGGGGGGUGGAAUUCCAGGUGUAGCAGUGAAAUGCGUAGAGAUCUGGAGGAACACCGAUGGCGAAGGCAGCCCCCUGGGCUAACACUGACGCUGAGGCGCGAAAGCGUGGGGAGCAA
rnacentral:rRNA from 1 species